GACGAACGCUGGCGGCGUGCUUAACACAUGCAAGUCGAGCGGUAAGGCCCUUUCGGGGUACGACGAGCGGCGAACGGGUGAGUAACACGUGGGUGACCUGCCCUCCAGCUCUGGGAUAAGCCUGGGAAACCGGGUCUAAUACUGGAUAUGACUCCAUGACGCAUGUUGUGGGGUGGAAAGCCUUGUGCGGCUGAGGAUGGGCCCGCGGCCUAUCAGCUUGUUGGUGGGGUGAGGCCUACCAAGGCGACGACGGGUAGCCGGCCUGAGAGGGCGACCGGCCACACUGGGACUGAGACACGGCCCAGACUCCUACGGGAGGCAGCAGUGGGGAAUUGUUCGCAAUGGGCGCAAGCCUGACGACGCAACGCCGCGUGGAGGAUGAAGACCUCGGUCGUAAC
rnacentral:rRNA from 1 species